rnacentral:rRNA from 1 species
GAUGAACGCUGGCGGCGUGCCUAAUACAUGCAAGUCGAGCGAACAGACGAGGAGCUUGCUCCUCUGACGUUAGCGGCGGACGGGUGAGUAACACGUGGAUAACCUACCUAUAAGACUGGGAUAACUUCGGGAAACCGGAGCUAAUACCGGAUAACAUGUUGAACCGCAUGGUUCAACAGUGAAAGACGGUCUUGCUGUCACUUAUAGAUGGAUCCGCGCCGCAUUAGCUAGUUGGUAAGGUAACGGCUUACCAAGGCAACGAUGCGUAGCCGACCUGAGAGGGUGAUCGGCCACACUGGAACUGAGACACGGUCCAGACUCCUACGGGAGGCAGCAGUAGGGAGUCUCCCGCAAUGGGCGAAAGCCUGACGGAGCAACGCCGCGUGAGUGAUGAAGGUCUUCGGAUCGUAAAACUCUGUUAUUAGGGAAGAACAAAUGUGUAAGUAACUAUGCACGUCUUGACGGUACCUAAUCAGAAAGCCACGGCUAACUACGUG